rnacentral:rRNA from 1 species
CCUACGGGGGGCAGCAGUGAGGAAUAUUGGUCAAUGGGCGCGAGCCUGAACCAGCCAAGUAGCGUGAAGGAUGAAUGCCCUAGGGAUUGUAAGCUUCUUUUAUAUGGGAAUAAAACAGGGUAUGCAUACCCUCUUGUAUGUACCAUAUGAAUAAGGAUCGGCUAACUCCGUGCCAGCAGCCGCGGUAAUACGGAGGAUCCGAGCGUUAUCCGGAUUUAUUGGGUGUAAAGGGAGCGUAGGUGGAUUGUUAAGUCAGUUGUGAAAGUUUGCGGCUCAACCGUAAAAUUGCAGUUGAAACUGGCAGUCUUGAGUACAGUAGAGGUGGGUGGAAUUCGUGGUGUAGCGGUGAAAUGCUUAGAUAUCACGAAGAACUCCGAUUGCGAAGGCAGCUCACUGGACUGCAACUGACACUGAUGCUCGAAAGUGUGGGUAUCAAACAGGAUUAGAUACCCCUGUAGUC